GUAUAUAAAUUAUUUUAUUCUUUCUUUUAAGUUAAAAAAAAAAGAAGUUUGUAAAAAUAUAAAAUUAAAGCGUUUGUGAGAUUUAGUUUGGAGAAGCACUACCAUAAAUGGUAGUUGCUUCCCGAUAAAAUUUGUGGUUCACAGGUUUGGGUUGGAUAUUUUAAAUUUGGUAAUGAUCCUUCCGCAGGUUCACCUACGGAAA
rnacentral:misc_RNA from 1 species